CAAUUUAUACAGUGAAACUGCGAAUGGCUCAUUAAAUCAGUUAUCGUUUAUUUGAUAGUACCUUUACUACUUGGAUAACCGUGGUAAUUCUAGAGCUAAUACAUGCUAAAAAUCCCGACUGUUUGGAAGGGAUGUAUUUAUUAGAUAAAAAAUCAAUGCUUUUCGGAGCUCUUUGAUGAUUCAUAAUAACUUUUCGAAUCGCAUGGCCUUGUGCUGGCGAUGGUUCAUUCAAAUUUCUGCCCUAUCAACUUUCGAUGGUAGGAUAGUGGCCUACCAUGGUUUCAACGGGUAACGGGGAAUAAGGGUUCGAUUCCGGAGAGGGAGCCUGAGAAACGGCUACCACAUCCAAGGAAGGCAGCAGGCGCGCAAAUUACCCAAUCCCGACACGGGGAGGUAGUGACAAUAAAUAACGAUACAGGGCCCUUUCGGGUCUUGUAAUUGGAAUGAGUACAAUGUAAAUACCUUAACGAGGAACAAUUGGAGGGCAAGUCUGGUGCCAGCAGCCGCGG
rnacentral:rRNA from 1 species